rnacentral:rRNA from 1 species
GACGAACGCUGGCGGCGUGCUUAACACAUGCAAGUCGAACGGUGAAGCGCCUUCCUUUUUGGUGGGUGUGGAUGAGUGGCGAACGGGUGAGUAACACGUGAGUAACCUGCCCCCUUCUUCUGGAUAACCGCAUGAAAGUGUGGCUAAUACGGGAUAUUCUGGGUCUGUCGCAUGAUGGGUCUGGGAAAGAUAUUGUUUCGGUGGGGGAUGGGCUCGCGGCCUAUCAGCUUGUUGGCGGGGUGAUGGCCUACCAAGGCGGUGACGGGUAGCCGGCCUGAGAGGGUGGACGGUCACACUGGGACUGAGACACGGCCCAGACUCCUACGGGAGGCAGCAGUGGGGAAUAGUGCACAAUGGGCGCAAGCCUGAUGCAGCGACGCCGCGUGAGGGAUGGAGGCCUUCGGGUUGUGAACCUCUUUCGCCAGUGAAGCAGGCCUGCCUCGUUUGUGGGUGGGUUGACGGUAGCUGGAGAAGAAGCGCCGGCUAACUACGUG